GCGUUAAUAGUUAAAUGGUAUAACUUCUGACCUCCAAUCACAUAUCCAGGGUUCGAUUCCCUGUUAACGCA